AAAUCGCAUGUCAUAAACCUGUGUUGUCAAGGAUUGUGUUGUGUUCCCAACGACUACUGGUAGAUCAUAUUGCUCUAAAUACCUCCAAGUUGUAUCUUUCAGAACUGGUGAUACUUGAACAAAAGUAGCUAUGGCAUUUCUCAAUGCACCCUUAAGAUAUGGAGGGACAUUUUCAUAACCAAGGAGUUUGAACAAUGGCUCAAUAUCAGGGAACCAAUUCUUCCAUUCUACGGGAUUAGCAUUUUCGACAACCUUUUGCAGAACAUUCAAGUAAGCAACGAGUGCUUUGGCGUCUCCUUCCUGUAUCUCUGGCAGAACUGCCCCAGGACUUUGCAGGGCUUGUUUGAACUUCUCCUCAUAAAUUGAUAAGCAAUCAAAUAAAGUGCUCCAUCCAAUAGAACGGAAUGUCAUUCCCUGAAGUAACUCAAAAACUUUGGAAGCACCUUCAGCACUAGAUGCCAAGGUACUCAGCAUUCUCAAAAAUGCUACAAGUGUCUGAAAGUUAGUGUGAUCCUCUCCGGCGAAGUUGACAAAAGUCCACAAAACAUCAUUACCAGACAGCAGCUCAGGUUCUUUCUGGUAAAUUUCACUCACAAACUCCAAGAGAGAGACAAAAGUUUGUGGUGCAGGUUCAGUGGCCUUUUGAAAAUGCCCAAUUCCCUCCACAGUAUGAUCAUGUGAAGUAGACAAGCGGUACGGACCAAGUGCCGUCAUAGCCUUCUCUUUUGCUUCUUUAACCUUGUCCUUGGCCAAUGGAUGAGACAAAAGGCAUGUUAUCAUCUUGUGCAAAUAGGCAUUGUACAUGUAGAUCAUAUCCUCAUCAUCAUUCUGAUAGGCAGGAGUUAGGAGGAUCUUAUUCAGCCAAGACAGGAAGACAUUGUUGGAGAAUAUAACUUCCAAGCAUGAAUAGAUGUUCCUUAUAUCAUUAUUUGAUGAAGCAGUUGCUGAUGUAUCUUUUGCAUCAAUCCCG
rnacentral:misc_RNA from 1 species